GGCACGGUCACGCGCGCACCACCAGGCCCCAGUUGUACGCAUUUAGAACUCUUUUCGCCGAUAAAUCACUUAAUCAAAUUGAAAGGUUUUUCGGUCGUAGUUUGUUCAUCGAUAAAUCGUGCUUCUGAAACUAUCAUAUUCACUUGCCGAAAUACUCGUGUGACUCGUCGACGUACCACCGAGGAGAAGACACCAUAAAUCGAUUACUAAAAUUAAAAAAUCACCACUGCCCGCGUGUUCAACAGGUACAAUACAGUCAUCAUUGAAUCUGUAAGUUCGUGUUUGAAUUUAUAAUUUUCAAUAAUCUAAGACUCAAUUCAACUGAAAAAAUGGACAAACUGGAUCCAACCGGAUUGUACUGAGCUUGAGAUAGUCAGUUCGAGACAGAUAUUCUACUGAUUCUAUCGACAAUGGCUGGAGACUUGGAUCCAACUGGACUCUACUGACAAGUGUGUCAUUUACCAGUGGGAAGAGAAUCAUUGUAUUCUGUCCCGCCGAAUCCGUUGAUUCGUAGCUCCAUCAGCUGAAAAUCCGCCGAAUUAGAGGCAGCAAGAUGCAUGACUUAGAUCCAACUGGUACCUACUAAACUCUCUGCGGAGAAGAAGCUCGGAUACGAGGUGAGAGAUUCAGGAAGGAAUAAAUUACGGAAGAGGACUCAGUCCGUCAAGGUCGAGACAUGGCUGCAGCACUCGAUCCAACCAAUACCUACUGAAGGUGAUGCGACACAGGUCGCAGAAGGAGGAAGGGAAAGGGAGGACGUGAAUUAAUAAAAAAGAAAAAAUUUAAAAAAAAAACGACAACUACCAAGCUGUUCUGGUGGCAGGUGCAACAAGAUUGUCGUCACGAAAGAAUGGGGAAACAUGUGAGAGGUAGAGAGGAGACAUCGUCGUCGAAUCUGAGGAGAUGGGCCUGGAGUAUCAAUAUACGGAAGGGCAGACACAAUUCGUGAAAUCGGGGGAAACAACAGAGAGGGAGAGGAGAUCGUCAAUGAACUCGAACACUGCCAACGCAUGAGAUGAACCACCAGGAAGUACAUCACUGCUAGAGUCUUCAUAACACCCGUAUUAAUUCGGGAUUUAAUUGGUCGCUAACCGAGAGGAAAUUCACUGAACGCAAAGGAGGAAGUGCAAAGUCUUAUCACUGCCAUGGACGCAGUCAGGAUGUCUCAGUCUCGCUUCCACGAGUCCUCGUAAUGAUGAGGAUGAUGGAAUGGAGACACUCGUCAUCCUCCAGCAUCCACAACAAAUCCAACUGCCUUUCAUCAACCGACGUGAAUCAUCCAGCCUCGCAGACAUCAAAAGUGUUAAUUAUUUUUUUAAUCAAAAUGCGACACCGAGGCAGCUAUUAUCGAGUACUAAAUUAUGCAUUUGACGGAGGCAAUGCGCCUUCAACGUUCAACCGGGAAAACGAUUAGUAGCUGUUAUUAACUUAUUAUCUAUGAUCUUGGAAAAAGAAAAUUGAAAUUGCUGACAAAUGGAGGGAUUUUUUUUUAAUUCACGGUACUAUUGUCUUCUGAAUGUUUCCAAUUGGCUGGAUUCUCUCAAUUUACCCCGCUGGACAAGACUCAAAAUCAAAAGUUUAUUUCAACUGCCGUAUAACUGCCGAAUAUGAAAGCACCACGCACAGUCUCCCUUUGAUAACUCCAAUGACUUUCUAUUUCAAGAGCUACAAUCACUACCACCCGAGCCACAAGACUGUUGCUGGAAUCGUUGUAUUGAUUAUUUGUGAAUUAUUUUCAUAUUUUUCUCAUAAUUACACAUUGUAUCCAUGCGCCCAGUGGCGAUUAGAUUCUUAAUUAUAAUCAUUUAUUUUUAUUGUAUUAACAAGUUUAGUGUCUAAGUACCUUUGAAUUCGUAGAUUUUUUUCCAAAUACGGAAAACAGCUUUCAGCGCGGAUUUUAAUCGGUGUACGCGCGUGAAAGCGUGCCUGCAAGAGUGUACGAGUUACCAGAAUCGAAUUGUCCUCUUUUCUAUUUCUAUUUACAUUUUUUUUAUCAAUGAAUUUAUCCUAUUAUCUUACCACCGUCUCGUGUGGGGUCUUUAUUACUGUUUAUCUUGUUCCUUCUGUGUGCGGAAUAGAUUAAUUCUACGUAAUCAAUUGAAAAAUUUCCAUAAUCGUAACAAUCUUUUCAUGACCAUUCAAACUAUUUCUCUGAAAAACUAUAAUUGGCUGUACUACAUUCUCUUGAUUUGACGGAAUUGCCGACAUGGUCAUCUAUAAAAACAUCGAUGGAUUUAAUUGCCUCACGAAUUGAGUGACAAAAGAAACUUUUCUGACGAUUGUCUUUGCACUCCUCGGCUUCGCUUCGGAUUGUAAUCUCAAUCACCAGAAAAGUUCCUGACGGCCUAGUGACAAAACUACUACUAUACUAUUUUGGAUGAAUCCGUUUUCUUUGGUCUAAUUCCCUCAAUGAUCGAGAAUGUAUUAUUUGUUCGACUGAAUGAUAAACCGAAUGUUUGAAUCACAUUAACAAGUGUCCACUGUGCGAAUGAUAAUUAUUGACAAAUAUACGAGAAAUAUAUAUUUUUUUACCAACUGACUAAAUCGGAACUGAUGAAAGUGGAUUCUAUCCAUUGGCCGUAAACUAUUCUGACUGUUGUUAGUGAUAAAAAUUCUGAAUUGGAUAAGAAAAUGUAGAAUCCAUUUCUACGUUACGACCGAUCGACGGACAUGGGACGGAGAUUAUUGUUUUUUUUUUUAAUUUCAAUUUACUUGAGGUUACGUUUGGAAUAUCGCGCGUUGUUGUUUUAUUUGCUCUACUGCACUUAUCAUUAUUAAACGGCGUAUCUCAACGUUACCCCGACUAAGGCCGACGGUGUAGACUUAAAUUAUUACCUUUUUUUGCAAAGCGUGGUUAAUAGUAGCUGUACGUUUUGCACAAUAAAAUAUUAAGUUCAAAGAU